UCGGGAAUAUUGCACAAUGGAGGAAACUCUGAUGCAGUGACGCCGCGUGCAGGAAGAAGGUUUUCGGAUUGUAAACUGCUUUAGACAGGGAAGAAACAAGACAGUACCUGUAGAAUAAGCUCCGGCUAACUACGUGCCAGCAGCCGCGGUAAUACGUAGGGAGCGAGCGUUAUCCGGAAUUAUUGGGUGCAAAGGGUGCGUAGAUGGGAAUGUAAGUUAGUUGUGAAAUCCCUCGGCUUAACUGAGGAACUGCAACUAAAACUAUAUUUCUUGAGUGCAGGAGAGGUAAGUGGAAUUCGUGGUGUAGCGGUGAAAUGCUUAGAUAUUACACAGAACACCUAUUGCGAAGGCAGCUGACAAAACCAUUAUUGACGCUGAGGCACGAAAGUGUGGGGAUCAAACA
rnacentral:rRNA from 1 species